rnacentral:rRNA from 1 species
CAACCUGCCCACCACUUGGGGAUAACCUUGCGAAAGUAAGACUAAUACCCAAUGAUAUCUCUAGAAGGCAUCUGAAAGAGAUUAAAGAUUUAUCGGUGAUGGAUGGGGAUGCGUCUGAUUAGCUUGUUGGCGGGGUAACGGCCCACCAAGGCAACGAUCAGUAGGGGUUCUGAGAGGAAGGUCCCCCACAUUGGAACUGAGACACGGUCCAAACUCCUACGGGAGGCAGCAGUGAGGAAUAUUGGUCAAUGGGCGAGAGCCUGAACCAGCCAAGUAGCGUGCAGGACGACGGCCCUAUGGGUUGUAAACUGCUUUUAUAAGGGAAUAAAGUGAGUCUCGUGAGACUUUUUGCAUGUACCUUAUGAAUAAGGACCGGCUAAUUCCGUGCCAGCAGCCGCGGUAAUACGGAAGGUCCGGGCGUUAUCCGGAUUUAUUGGGUUUAAAGGGAGCGUAGGCCGGAGAUUUAGCGUGUUGUGAAAUGUAGAGGCUCAACCUCUGCACUGCAGCGCGAACUGGUCUUCUUGAGUACGCGCAACGUGGGCGGAAUUCGUGGUGUAGCGGUGAAAUGCUUAGAUAUCACGAAGAACUCCGAUUG